UUUGACUUGUAAACACCUGGGCCUUUUAAUGGGAUGAGACCAGUGUUCUUGCUUCUCAGCAAGAGGCGACCCAACCGGUGGCGGUGCAAGGACUGGGCAGAGCACAGAAUAUGGGGAAGGGUGGUCUGGAAAAGCACGCCCAGAGCCGAGGGGAGGGGCCGGAGGGGUGCCUGCUCCCUGGAAAGACAGGUUCCCGCUUCGGGAUUCUGAGUCUCCGGGUCUGCAGGCAGAGGCCCGCCCGCCUCGGGGUCUGGUGACCGUGGACCCGAGGCGCGUGCGGCAGCGCCCUCUGCCGGCCGCGCGGGACAAGCGUCCAGCCCCGCGGCUCUGCAGGUGGGACCCGGGAUCCCUCCCGCUGCCUCCGCCCCCGCCCCCGCUCCCGCUCCAUCCCUUCCGAGGACCGCGCGGCCAGGUCCCCGACCGGAUUCCAGGAGACGCGUCCUUAUCUGACGCCUGCGGGCUGAGCAGAGACGAUGCUUGGAAACAUCCGAUUCACCUGGGGAUCGGAGGCCGCGGGAACCCACCUAAACCCCGCAGGGGCUGCGCCUCUUGGGCUCCGCGGCCAAAGUCUGCCGGGCUGUCGGAGGUGGUUUGGAAGUGGCAUCGCCUAUGGCCAAGACCGCGGGUUCUGCGGACAGAGAGGAGCCCUGGGUUCGCUUUCUGCCUCAUCCAUUUUCCAGCUAGAGUGGGUUGGACGCAUGUUUACCUGCAUGCUCUCUUCAAAUCCCAUCUAAAUGACCAGGACAAAGAGAAUGGCGGAGGGCCAUCAGUGGACAAGAGAAGGGAUGGAAGGAGCAGAUAGUAAGGGCCUGUAGAGCGAGAGGCCCAUGAGGAGCCAAAAAGCUUGCCUUGCGGAAUCCCAGAGAGGCCCGGGAAUUUCAGAAGCUCACCAAAGAUGGAGCGAAGAGAAUUAAGUGAAAGUCUGGAUGAAGGAAUGGUGACAUUGUCCUCUCUGCCGACACGUCCACUCUCCCUCACCACCUCUGAGCAUCUCCGGAAAAGCUAAGCAAUCCCAGAGGAAGGAGCUUUCCAUGAAAAAGCCGACGGGCUGCCCAAUCACCUCACAGAGAACUCUACCAGUUGACAAGGCUGUCACACAGAUGGAGCUUUCCAUUGGCUUCUCGUGCCUCCCUCUCGACGUGAAUGCUCAGCCAAAGAUCACCAGACACUGAGGAAAGCCUUCCCAACAGGAGAAAUAGACCAAAAAAGACGGGCAAAUAAUUAAGCAGAAAUAAUAAUUUUCCUCAAGUAGUUGAGAAGAUAGCAUUCAAAUUUCUGCUCAAAUGUCACUCCUCACAGACUUCCACUGGCCAUUCUGUGUUGAACAGUAUCUUCCAUUACUCUCUAGCCCCUCACUCUGCCUAAUUUCAGAAACAACAGAGAAAUGGAGGGGAGAAAAUUAUUAAAAUAAGUAAUACGAAGAAUUUUCCCAGAACUGAAGGAUAUGAGUUUCCAGUUUGAAAGGGUCCAGUGGGUGCCAAGC
rnacentral:lncRNA from 1 species